rnacentral:tRNA from 1 species
UGACAUAUAGUAUAAUGGUUAGUGCAUAUUAUUACGAAUAAUAUAAUGUAAGUUCGAUUCUUACUAUGUCAU